rnacentral:rRNA from 1 species
UUGCCUAGAAUUGUGGUCGAUCCCGCCACCCCUCUGAACUAGCGUUCGAGACUAAGCCAUGCAAGUGUAAGCUCAAGACCUCUCGUAGGUCGAAGCCGCAGACGGCUCCGUACAAGGCAGUUAAUCUACGGUCCAGCGAAAAAUCUACGGAUAUCUCUGGUAAGCUAGAGCCAAUACGUGUUACCAAUUCUCCGUGAGUCCUUCGGGGCGAGCGGGGUGCAGUUAUCGGAACGAGGUAGCGUGCUUCGGCGCGCAA